AGCGGCAGACGGGUGAGUAACGCGUGGGAACAUACCCUCCGGUUCGGAAUAACUCAGGGAAACUUGAGCUAAUACCGGAUACGGUCGAGAGGCGAAAGAUUUAUCGCCGGAGGAUUGGCCCGCGUCCGAUUAGCUAGUUGGUGUGGUAAUGGCGCACCAAGGCGACGAUCGGUAGCUGGUCUGAGAGGAUGAUCAGCCACAUUGGGACUGAGACACGGCCCAA
rnacentral:rRNA from 1 species